rnacentral:misc_RNA from 1 species
UUAAUCUCCUUUUUUUUUUCCUCUCCUAAUAAUGUUUACUACAAUUUUCCAAAACUGAAGCUUUGGGUUAUUUCUUAAUCUCUCUCAUCCAUGGGAGUAAUGAUAUUUAUGAUGCUUUGUUGAGAGACCUAGAUCUUGAACGUUAGUAACAUUGUUAAAUUGUUGAUGACUUGUCUGUUUGCGAAUAUCGUUGAUGCUGCAAUUUGACUCCCUGGAUACUAUUGAUCUGUGAGUCAAUAUACCUAAUACCUCACUGUAUAGCAUGUGUAAAGCAAAUCAAUAUCUGAACUAGUUAAUUGCUUUCUCUCCCGUGCUGGGAAGAUUGAAAAUGAUAAUGA